AGAGUUUGAUCAUGGCUCAGAACGAACGCUGGCGGCAGGCCUCAAACAUGCAAGUCUAGGGGACGUAGCAAUACGUCACCGGCGGACGGGUGCGUAACACGUGGGAACAUACCUUUCGGUACGGAACAACUGAGGGAAACUUCAGCUAAUACCGUAUACGCCCGUAAGGGGAAAGAAUUUCGCCGAAAGAUUGGCCCGCGUUCGAUUAGCUAGUUGGUGAGGUAAUGGCUCACCAAGGCUCCGAUCGAUAGCUGUUCUGAGAGGAAGAUCAGCCACACUGGGACUGAGACACGGCCCAGACUCCUACGGGAGGCAGCAGUUGGGAAUCUUGGACAAUGGGGGAAACCCUGAUCCAGCCAUGCCGCGUGAGUGAUGAAGGCCUUCGGGUUGUAAAGCUCUUUUACCCGGGAAGAUAAUGACUGUACCGGGAGAAUAAGCUCCGGCUAACUUCGUGCCAGCAGCCGCGGUAAUACGAAGGGGGCUAGCGUUGUUCGGAAUUACUGGGCGUAAAGCGCGCGCAGGCGGCUUCUCAAGUCAGUGGUGAAAGCCCGGAGCUCAACUCCGGAAAUGCCAUUGAAACUGUGAAGCUUGAGGACGAGAGAGGUGAGUGGAAUUCCCAGUGUAGAGGUGAAAUUCGUAGAUAUUGGGAAGAACACCGGUGGCGAAGGCGGCUCACUGGCUCGUUUCUGACGCUCAGGCGCGACAGCGUGGGGAUCAAACAGGAUUAGAUACCCUGGUAGUCCACGCCGUAAACGAUGAGUGCUAGCCGUUGGGCAGCUUGCUGUUCAGUGGCGCAGCUAACGCAUUAAGCACUCCGCCUGGGGAGUACGGCCGCAAGGCUGAAACUCAAAGGAAUUGACGGGGGCCCGCACAAGCGGUGGAGCAUGUGGUUUAAUUCGACGCAACGCGCAGAACCUUACCAGGGUUUGCCAUCCUGCGACCGCUCCUU
rnacentral:rRNA from 1 species